rnacentral:ncRNA from 2 species
CCCGUGCGUCCGGCCUACGGUCGGCGUCGAGUGUCGUGAUCGGGAAGCCGGUGCGGCAGGUGACGUGAAUAUAUUUCACACACCGGCCAAGGCCGGCGCUGUCCCCGCAACGGUAGGCGAGUCAAAGUGUGGCAUCACGUCACUGUGCCGAAGGCGUAAUACUGCGUCCGGCAUGGGAAGGCGCCUCACCGGAAGCAUAGCUUCCUCUCGUAAGCCCGGAGACCGGCCUCAAGCAACGACGCCAC